rnacentral:lncRNA from 1 species
CUCCUAUACUUCAGCAUAAAUCACCAUUUCAAGCACUAUUUGGGAAAGACUUUGAUUAUAAAAUGCUAAAAACCUUUGGUUGCACCUGCUACCCCUGCCUUAGACCUUACCAAAAGCACAAAUUCAACUUCCAUUCUCAAAGGUGUGUCUUUCUUGGCUAUGGUGAUUCACACAAAGGUUAUAAGUGCCUAAGCUCAAGUGGUAGAAUCUACAUAUCCAGACAUGUUGUGUUCAAUGAACUGGAAUUUCCAUUCAAAUCUGGUUUUAUAAACAAAUCAGUCCAGUCACCAACUUCUGAAACUGUCAUGAGUCUUCUUCCCUUUGUUGUUGAGUCCAGUCACAAAACAAUUCCUCAAAAUGUAACUGAUACAAUCCAUCCUGGUGCAUCACUUGCUGCAGACUUCUCUAACAAUGAAAUAGAAACUGAAGUUGAAGAUGAAGUGGAUAUAGAAAACAAUGAUGCUCAGAGAAGUCAAGAAUUAGUUGGUAAUGAGGUGGUCGAAGUCCAACAAAGGAGAUGUGAUACUGAAAAUACAGGAGAUGAUGUAAACCUUCAGGUCCAAAAUGCAACACAGAAUACUGGACAUCAGAUGAUCACCAGAAGCAAAGCUGGAAUCUUCAAACCAAAAGUUUACGCAAAUCAUGUACAGGACAAAUCAGUAGAAACCGAGCCACUAACUGCUGAUGAAGCACUACUGAGUAAUGGCUGGAAGAAGGCUAUGCAAGAAGAAUACAGUGCUUUGAUGAGGAAUAAAACAUGGACCUUGGUACCUCCUAAGCCUGGGAUGAAAAUAAUUGGCAACAAAUGGGUAUUUAAGUUAAAGUAUGACUCAGAUGGCAGAAUACAAAGGCACAAAGCAAGAUUAGUUGCCAAAGGAUUUCUUCAAACACCUGGAGUAGAUUUUGGAGAAACAUUCAGCCCCGUCAUCAAGGCAUCAACUUUGAAAAUCAUUUUAACACUUGCUGUGUCUAAAGAUUGGGACAUCAGACAAGUUGACGUGAACAAUGCUUUCUUGAAUGGCAAGUUGAGUGAGGUAGUAUAUAUGGAUCAGCCACAAGGAUUCGUAGAUGAGAAAAAUCCUAGUUUUGUGUGCAAGUUAGAUAAAGCCUUGUAUGGAUUGAGGCAGGCACCAAGAGCCUGGCAUGAGGAACUGAAGAAUACUUUAUUGAAAUGGAAUUUCAAGCAAUCUAAAGCAGAUAAUUCACUGUUCUUCUCGGCAAAUGGAAGAGAUAUACUGUUUGUGCUGGUUUACGUAGAUGACAUAGUAAUAACAGGGAACAACAAUAAAAAACUGCAAGAGUUUAUUGAUAAUUUGAACACCUGUUUUGCGCUUAAGGAUAUGGGAAGCCUCAGUCAAUUCCUAGGUAUGGAGGUGCAUAGAGAUGCAACCGGGUUAUACUUGACACAAACAAAGUAUGUUGUAGACUUACUCAGGAGAUUUGGCUAUGAAAGCUUAAAACCAAGCUUGACACCUAUGGCAGUGGGCAAGCUAAUCUCUAAGACUGAGGGACAAGCUAUGAAGAAUCCAACCUUGUUCAGAAGUGCUGUUGGUGGCCUUCAAUAUCUGGCUCAUACAAGACCAGAUAUCACUUAUUCUGUAAAUAAGAUGAGCCAAUUUCUUCAAGCACCCACGGAUACUCACUGGAAGGUACUAAAAAGGUUGUUUAGAUAUUUGAAGGGCACACCAAAUCAUGGUCUUGCUAUUCGGAAGAGUGAUAGUCUUGACAUAAAUGCAUUUGCAGAUUCUGACUGGGCAUCAUGUCCAGA